AGAGUAUCAAGUGGUUUUUUCUCUGUAGGAACCCGAACGGCCUUCUCCCAUAUUCGCAACCUCUUCUCUGAGAGAGAGAGAGAGAGAGAGAGAGAGAGAGAAUCUGUUAUCUGAUAUCUCUCGUUCGUGUCUCCCUCGCAAUACGUGCAAAGGCAUGUGAGAGGUAUGGGAGAAGGCUUCUCUCCAAUCAUACUUCCCUUUUUGCCCCCUUAAAUCUCUUUAAUUUCCAUCUUCUUCUUCCCUCGCUCUCAGCUUCUGCUCCUGAGAUCUUCAUCAAUUUCUCGCAUCAGCACCGCAAUUUCUCGCGAUUCCAUCUCUCCAGCAAUGGAUCCGUCGGAUCUCUCUUCAAAGGCCCCUGUCAUUCCACCUCUCCCAAGGGACUCCCGCGGCUCUCUGGAAGUUUUCAACCCCUCAUCCUUAUCUCCAAGGUCCACCCUCACUCAAUCCAACACCAGUAAGUUCCCAUCCUACUCCACGUGGCAGAACAAGGGAGACCCACGUGGGACCUCAGAAUCCGAGUCCCCCAAGCUAUCAAAGUCUCCCACGAUGCCGCCCACCGAUGAGAUAACCUCAUGGAUGGCACUCAAGGACACACCCCAACAGCCCAAAGACUCACCAACGGUCACGAUCGAGAAUCCAACGGCUAAGAUGACAGGAGAGGUAGGGGCAAUCGCGCAGCGGGCAGCAGAAUGGGGACUUGUUUUGAAGACAGAUGUAGAGACGGGUAAGCCACAGGUGGGAGUGAGGAGAUCAGGUGAGGAAGGAAGUCAUAAGGCGGUAGUGUCGAGAAGGAAUUCUGGUAAUUCGGUUAGGAGUUCGGAUGAAGAAAGUGGAUCGAGAGGGAUUCCCAGAGCGUCGGAGGAUCUCAAAGACGCGCUGUCCACUUUCCAGCAGACGUUCGUUGUGUCCGACGCGACGAAGCCUGACUAUCCAAUCAUGUACGCUAGCGCUGGGUUCUUCAAGAUGACCGGCUACCUGGCUAAAGAGGUCAUUGGCAGGAACUGCCGAUUCCUUCAAGGCGCGGACACCGACCCAGCUGAAAUUGCUAAGAUAAGGGAAACACUAGAGGCAGGGACGAGCUACUGUGGCCGUUUAUUGAAUUAUAAGAAGGAUGGGACACCAUUUUGGAACCUGUUAACGAUAUCACCGAUCAAGGAUGAAAAGGGGAGUAUUCUUAAGUUCAUCGGAAUGCAAGUGGAGGUGAGCAAGCAUACGGAGGGAAUAAAGGAAAAGAUGGUCCGUCCAAACGGCUUGCCGGAAUCCUUAAUCCGUUAUGACGCUCGACAGAAAGAAAUGGCUACUAGUUCUGUGUCCGAGCUUGUUUUGGCAAUAAAGCGACCUCGUGCACUUUCUGAAUCAACAAAUCGCCCAUUUAUGCGAAAAUCUGAAGGAGGUGGAGAACAGGCAAGACAUGAUGCCAUAGGAAGAAGAUAUUCAGAAAAUAUUGCUCCAACAAUACGUACUUCACAUACUGGUAUUAAAAAUUCAAUGCAAAAAAUCAAUGAAAUGCCCGAUGAAGGAAAGAAAUCAAAAAGAUCAGAACGACGUUCUUUUAUGGGGUUUUUGAGAAAAAGACAAUCAAUUGAUGAAAACCAUGAACUGCAAGUAACUAUGGAUGAAGAUUUAUUUGAAGAUAACGAUGAUGAAAGGCCCCAAAGCUUUGAUGAUAAAAUAAGGAAGAAAGAAAUGAGAAGAGGUAUUGAUCUCGCAACAACGCUUGAACGUAUUGAGAAGAAUUUUGUUAUCACUGAUCCAAGAUUGCCUGACAAUCCUAUUAUUUUUGCAUCAGACAGCUUUUUGGAGCUUACAGAAUAUAGUCGUGAAGAAAUCUUAGGAAGAAAUUGCAGGUUUCUCCAAGGCCCUGAAACUGAUCCUGCGACAGUGAGAAACAUAAGACAGGCUAUCGAUAACCAAACAGAUGUCACUGUCCAACUGAUAAACUACACGAAAAGUGGUAAGAAGUUCUGGAAUGUGUUCCAUCUGCAACCUAUGCGUGAUCAGAAGGGGGAGGUGCAGUAUUUCAUCGGGGUGCAACUGGAUGGUAGUGAACAUGUUGAGCCACUUCAUAACUGUAUUCCAGAGGAAACAGCGAAAGAGAGUACAAAACUGGUGAAAGAAACUGCAGAAAACGUUGAUGAAGCCGUGAGAGAACUUCCAGAUGCUAAUAUGAAACCGGAGGACCUAUGGAGCAAUCACUCAAAGGUGGUCUUCCCAAAGCCUCAUAGGAAGGACAGCUCAUCAUGGAGAGCUAUCCAAAAGGUUCUACAAAGUGGAGAACAGUUAGGCUUAAAACAUUUUAGACCAGUGAAACCUUUGGGAUCUGGUGACACAGGCAGUGUGCAUUUGGUGGAAUUAUGUGGAACUGGAGAGUUAUUUGCAAUGAAAGCUAUGGAUAAGAACGUUAUGCUUAAUCGCAACAAGGUGCACAGAGCUUGUGCAGAAAGAGAAAUACUUGACAUGCUGGACCACCCUUUUCUUCCUGCACUUUAUGCUUCUUUUCAGACCAAAACACAUAUUUGUCUGAUAACUGAUUACUGCCCUGGUGGAGAGCUCUUUCUGCUUUUGGACAGGCAACCCUUGAAGGUCCUUAAAGAAGAUGCUGUAAGGUUCUAUGCUGCAGAAGUAGUUGUGGCACUGGAAUACCUUCACUGUCAAGGUAUUAUCUAUAGGGAUUUGAAACCUGAAAAUGUCUUAAUCCAAGGCAAUGGACAUGUAUCAUUGACAGAUUUUGAUCUAUCAUGUUUGACAUCAUGCAAACCACAGCUUUUGCUUCCAAACGCCCACGAAAAGAAAAAGCAGCAUAAAGGGCAGUUACCUCCAAUUUUCAUAGCUGAACCAAUGCGAGCAUCAAACUCCUUUGUUGGAACUGAAGAGUAUAUUGCACCAGAAAUUAUCACUGGAGCUGGCCAUACUAGUGCUGUUGACUGGUGGGCUCUUGGAAUUCUUCUUUACGAAAUGCUUUAUGGAUAUACACCAUUCAGAGGAAAGACGAGGCAAAAGACAUUUGCCAAUAUUCUUCACAAGGAUCUUAAAUUUCCUGCUAGUCUUUCGGUAAGUUUUCAUGCAAGGCAGUUAAUGUACCGCUUGUUGCACCGGGAUCCAAAAAACAGAUUGGGUUCAUGUGAAGGAGCCAACGAAAUUAAGCAACAUACAUUUUUUCGCGGCAUCAAUUGGGCUCUUGUUCGAUGCAUGAAACCUCCUAAACUUGAUGCACCCAUCCAAGUGACAGAUGAAUCUGAAAAGGAAGUUAAAGCUGUGGAUCCUGAACUUUUGGAUGUCCAAAUAAACAUCUUCUAAAAGAUUCAAAUGUCUGAAGUUCGAGUUCUUGUACCAGAGAAGCAUAGGAGUUAAAUUUGAAGAAUUGCAUUCCCUUUGCUAAGGACACAAUAUCCAAACCGGUUGGAUGUUGGCUCACUUUUCUAAUCUUCUCAGGUCUCUCAUCAAGAAGUUAUGACAGUUUUAAGGGGAGAAAGGAAUUGGGCUCCAAAUUGCAAAUAUAUUUUUGAACAUGAACUUCAGAGGAAUGCAACUUCAAUUUGAGGGUUACUUGCUUGUAACAAUGCCAAAGAUAAUUACAACUUUGUAAUUAUUUGAUCCCCUACUCAAGAAUAGGUAUGUUGUCGUCAAGCCCUUAGUUUGUACCACAGUUUUAAAACUCAAGAAAAACUCAUCUUGACUUGCCUGAA